UACGUAGGGGGUUAGCGUUGUCCGGAAUCAUUGGGCGUAAAGAGUGUGUAGGCGGCCCGGUAAGUCCGCUGUGAAAGUCGGGGGCUCAACCCUCGGAUGCCGGUGGAUACUGUCGGGCUCGAGUACGGAAGAGGCGAGUGGAAUUCCUGGUGUAGCGGUGAAAUGCGCAGAUAUCAGGAAGAACACCCGUGGCUAAGGCGGCUCUCUAGUACGGUACUGACGCUGAGACGCGAAAGCGUGGGGAGCGAACAGG
rnacentral:rRNA from 1 species